CUCCUGCUUCAGCCUCUCAAGUAGCUGAGAUUACAGUACACUUUGUACUUUAAUAUGCAAACUGCCUGCCUGCUCCAGAGAAGCAGCCUUUGUUCCUCAGUUCAUCGCAACACUCAGCCUGUCAGUCAGGUUGUGGGAUCCCUCCUAUCCAGGAACUGUAUGCUGUUGUCCCGGUUCUGACACUUUCCCUCUGAGUCCUUGGACACCUUACCUAACCUCUUGGAAGCUCCUGUCUGUGAAGGGUGUGCACAGAGAGCUUCGGUAGCCUGCGAAGCAGCCAUUUUCACUUCCACGGAGCAGAUGCUGGCCUGGGUGCUGGAAUAUGGAAAUGAGGAAGAUCCUGCCUGAGGAUUUCAUGACAGUGCUGCGAUUACCGACGUGAGCCACUGUGCCCAGCCUCACUUUAAAAAAAAAAAAAGGUUAUGAAGCAUCUCAACACAAGACCUCCUUUGCUCAUCACAACCACCCAGUGAAGCAGGCAAGACAACAGAAACUCCCCACCUGUGAUAGAUGUGAGGCCUGAAGUCUCCCACAUACCCACGGCAGAUGCAACGCACAGCGGUGACCAAUGGUGAAGGAUCUAAAACCUGAAAAGAGGCCAAAUGAUUCCUCAAAACCACGCAAGUACGAAGUAGCAGAGCGGAUCUCAAAUCCAGGUUGCCCUGCUGAUGUCAUGCCUGACCAUAUGACUUGCUCCAGCCAAUGAAAUGUAAGCAGAAGUGACAUAUGCAGCAUGACCAGUGGAAGCUUCGAAGAGCUAUUGCCAAUUUCCACCCUCUCUCUGGAAACUGUCAUUAGGGUUAGGGAAACUGUCAUGAGAUCUGCAUAUUUUAGAUAGAGGCUGCUUGCCUUAUUUGGGCACCUAAUGAAAAAGACAUGGAGGCCAGGUGCGGUGGCUCAUGUCUGUAAUCCCAGCACUUUGGGAGGCCAAGGCGAGUGGAUCACCUGAGGUCAGGAGUUCGAGACCAGCCUGACCAACAUGGCAAAACCCCGUCUGUACUAAAAGUGCAAACACAAAGGGAACUGCGUGGCUUGUUUCUACCUGAACAUUGUCAAGUGAUUUCAUCCUUUGAAACACAGUUGUGAAGUGUGUCCAGCAGUCUGAGAACAAGAAGAAGAAGAAAAUCUAAUCCUUCAGGGUGUCUGUGUGCCAGCCCUGCUCUCAGCACUUCCCAUGUGGAACUCCUUUACUUCUCCUAACAACUCCAUGACAUGGGUUAGACUGUGAUUGUUCCCAUAUUGUUGGUAGGGAAACUGAGGCAUGCAGGUGUUACAGAGCUCUCUCAAGUGGCAAGCUUUCUGGGUGGUUACAGAGUGGCAGAGCUGGGGUAUCCCAUGAUGUCACCACACUGCUAUAUGGAAAAGAACAUUAAUCGAGCACCUACGUGCUUGAUUCUCUUAAUUCUGUGACUGAACUCUCAAAACACCCUGGGUUGGUUUCCUUUUUACAACUGCCCAAGUCAUGAGUUCAUAGGGCCUGGAUGGCUGUACCGGAUUGCUCUCCAGCUGGUCUCUCUGCAUCCAGAAAUUUCUACAACCUACUGGGAAGCAAGCAGCAUGCUGGAGACCCUCAAAUACAUGUGAAAUGAAGGGACACCUUGUGUUAUUUCACCUGUUUCCACCUGGUUCCCAAGUGGCAAGCUUGCAUUGAGGUUACAAAGUGGCAAAGCUGGGAUAUCACAUGAUGUCACCAUGAUGCUAUAUGAAAUGUAACAUUAAUUGAGUACCUAUGUGACCAGUUCUUUAAUUCUGUAAGUGAACUCUCAAAAAACCCUAGGUAAGUAUUAUCAACUCGAACUUUAACGGAUGAGGAAACUGGAAUUUUUUAAAAAAUGACUUAACCAAACAUCACAGAGCUGUAAACCAGGAUUUGAAUGGGUGAGCUGCACUCAGCCUUCAUCUCAAGUCAGUUUGCCUCUUUCUCCAAGAAGCCACAGUUGAUCCUGACCACAUCACAUAUGAGUUGCCUGGAUUGCAGUCAUUCAUUCACUAAGCAUCUUUUAGGAGGUCACAUGCCAGGCACCGUGUUAGGUAAUGAUUUCUCCAAGUCACAGGAGCCGUGGUUCUGACUUUAGAAAGUUUCUCAUCUGAUGGGAGGGCAGGCAAGUAAAUCAGUAAGGGUGGUCCCUGUCGGGACACUGGUUGAGAAAUACCCAGGAACACUCUGAUUGAGAAAUACCCAAAGUGCAAAGUGACAGGGACUAGAGGCAUCUCCACUGGACCAGAGAGCUCUGGAUUCGUCUUGAGCUAAGUCUCUGGAGGUAGGUGUCAGCUACAAGGAGAAAAGCUGUAUAUUUUGAGAUAUGGGAUGCAGGGCCUUUUAGUUCCAUAAAUAAGAGAACUAUGGUGUGAAUACCACAUGCCCUGGGCUGAACUAAGUGGGCUCUAGGGGAAGGUAUACUGGGCAGGGAGUUUGGAGAACUGGUUUCUGUCUAAUCCUUCUCUAACUCUGUGACCUUGAAUGCAUCAUUUCCCCUCUGAGUCUCAGAUUCUCUUUCUGGCUGGCAUUUAAUGAAACCUAAAUAUUCUAGACCUUCUACUUGUUCCAUAAGUGCUCAGUCCUACACUCACUCUCCUCUGGCACCAAUAUACUGAUUACUCAUUUUAUGCCCAGCAGAGCACUGCGUGUUUUGAAAUAUACAAAUAGUGGGAAACGAAAUCUUUGUUCUGGAUGCAGUUAUAAUUUGGAAAGCGAGGAAAUAAAUUAUAACAAGGGGAAAAAACAGACACAGAGGGAUUGAAAUGCAUAACAAUAGAGAUGAAACACGAAGAGUGAUAAAUGAAGAUUGAGUGUGCACACCUUCUGGAGGAGCCCUGAUUGAGUAUUUUAACACAGAAGUGGGUGAGAGCAAAGUUGUGUCAGAGUAAGACAAUGACACCAAGCCAGAUGGUUAUCAAAAUCCACAGGAACAAAUGAAGAGAACCAGAAAUUGCAAAUAAGAAGGACAGAGUACCAGAGAGGAGAGAGAGGUACAGAGAAUUAUGGAGGUGGCUUCCGUUGAGUAUGCAGCUAAGUAAUGAUUAAUGCAUACAUAUAAGAAACUACUGGAUGACAGAGAAAGAACCACAAGCAAUUUAAAGAAUACUACUAAAGUCAUGCCGUGUGACUUCUGAAGCUAGCUCCUAAGAAGUCCUUGCAGCUUCUGCCUGCGACUCUUAGAACACUUGCUUUGAAGGAUGCCAGAUGCUGUCUUAAAAGUCUGAGCACUCUGAAACCAUCAUGCUGUGAGGAAGCCCAAGCUAACCACAUGGGCAAAAAAGAUGCCCUCUGACUGCCACCAUUUGAGACACUCUAAUUAAGAACUGCCUCAUUGAGCCCAUGAGGCCCUGUGAAUGAUAAUAAUAAAUUGUUUUUAACCACUAUGUUUUUGGAUUUGUUAUAAGUUUAUAGAUAACAAGAAAAAGUUAUAUUAGCAUGGUAAUAAAAUUAUGGAUAUGUGUAAGUUUGGUGUUUUGUUUCUUUUUUUUUUUUACACUAAGCCUAUAUUACUGUUGUAAUUUAGGAAAUCACUUGUUUUCCUCCAGCACUUCAAUGUAAGAGUGGCACUACUUAGAAUGUACUUCUUAAGAUAUGGCU
rnacentral:lncRNA from 1 species